rnacentral:rRNA from 1 species
UAUGUAGGGUGCGAGCGUUAAUCGGAAUUACUGGGCGUAAAGUGUGCGCAGGCGGCAAAGCAAGUCGAGUGUGAAAGCCCCGGGCUUAACUUGGGAAUUGCGCUCGAAACUACUUUGCUGGAGUGUGGCAGAGGAAGGUGGAAUUCCUGGUGUAGCGGUGAAAUGCGUAGAUAUCAGGAGGAACACCGGUGGUGUAGACGGCUUACUGGACCACGACUGACGCUGAGGCACGAAAGCGUGGGUAGCAAACAGG